UUUUAGUCUUUUGACUUGAAUGUUUUUGCUUUAUUUUCUUCUUGCCUCGACGAUAUUCCUCGUUUCAUGCGUCGCCCUUUUUCGUCUCCUUCCAUACUUUUUUCGAUACUGGCGCUCAAAAAGAAACCUUUGAAUCGAAUGCAUCGUCUAUACUUUCAAGCUAAAAGAGCGUAAAUUCUCGUCGACUAAAAUCAGUGACGACUAACUCUUAUCCACACGGCCACGGCACCGUUCUGGAGUUCAUAUUCGGAAAUCGAUAGUUAAAAAUUUAUCCAGGAGGAAAAAGCUUUGGCUCUCCACUGGCUGCAGCCGUUGCAAAAGAACGCUGGGAGUUAUUUUCCCUCUGCUAUGGACGAGAAAAAGCGUCGAGAGAGUUGUCGACGACAGGAAAAAGGUCGAGGUAAAAGAGAGCAACAAAGAAAAGAGGGGAUUUUUGCGUUUUCAAUACACAAUAUAAAUUUGUCCGAAGAUGAAAAAAAAUUGCGGACGCGUACUUUGAUCGGGGAGAAGCAGACGCAUCAGGUGAAGUAAGCAGAAACAGUUUUGCAAUAGUACCAGAAUAAUGACCAUUUACUUAUACAAUUCAUAACCGGGAAUUCGAAUAGCCGACUGAUUCGUCGGCAAAAAAGCAAACGAUAGAAUUUAUAAUUAAAAUCCACGUUUCCGUGAAGUUUGUAAAGAGCACACUCGAGCGAAUGAGGAUUCGAUAAUAUAUAUUUAUGCUCGGAACAAUUUAAUUAAUAUUCGAGUUCUAUUAUAAAUGCAAUAUUAUAAAUCCGUAAUACGUAAGAAAAUACACGUAUACCGCGUCAAAAAUUUCAUAUUCAUCUGCAGUCUCUAAGUUAAGAAAAAAAGCAUCGAAUUUAAAAAAUGAUAAAAAUUCUGUAAAGUUCCGUAAUUUUCCCGAGUUUCUCAAACUUGUUCCAACUAAAUGUUAAUAAUACAGUGUGCAUGCACGUGUAAGAUAAAUAGAGUUAGCUUAACUACACGCUCGGUGAUUAAGCUUUCAAGUGACUUGGGCAAACUUUGCCGUGUGCAGAAUAUUUCGUAGUUUACCUGCAUAUUAUGUCAAUGAAAUUUUUUAAACAUUCCCACGCGUUAACAUUCGUAAUUCUGCAAUGUAAAUACUUCAGUCGGUUACAACGGGUAAACAUUAACAACUUGCGACAUUAACCAUAACGAGAUUAUAAUGCACUUAAUAUAAGCAGCUAGACGUCAGUUUGAGAGUUGCUUCCGACUCAGUUUCCAACAAAUGUACUUACCCAAUUUAUAAAUUCUUGUAGCGAAAAAUCUAAAAAUUAGCUUCCUAUUCGUGAAAGAAACAUUAACAGCUCAUAACUUCUGUGUAGACUCAAGCAGUGGUUUGUAUAUUCACAGCGCGUGUAGCGCACAAAGGGAGACGGCCUUAAUAGAUCCCAGGGGAGCAAUUAAUACGACGACAUCGCUCCCCCUUUAUGCAAAAGGUUUAGGCAUCACCAUGGAUAAAUCGCGUAGGCAUUAAAUUACCGUGUGAAUUAGCCUUUAAACACUGAUGCUCCUUUAGCUUCGAGUUGGGUAAUCCAUUAAACUUUUAAUUCUCUUCAAGUCUU